UACAGAGGUCUCGAGCGUUGUUCGGAUUCAUUGGGCGUAAAGGGUGCGUAGGUGGUUUGGUAAGUCGGAUGUGAAAUCCCGGGGCUCAACCCCGGAACUGCAUUCGAUACUGCUGGACUUGAGUCCUGGAGAGGAGAUCGGAAUUUACGGUGUAGCAGAGAAAUGCGUAGAUAUCGUAAGGAAGACCAGUGGCGAAGGCGGAUCUCUGGACAGGAACUGACACUGAGGCACGAAGGCCAGGGGAGCAAACGGG
rnacentral:rRNA from 1 species